GAGUAGGAAACCGAGCGUAACGCCUUUAAUUGGCUCAGUGCCGCACAGACGGGGAGUUGCUGUGCGGACGAAACGGCAUUUAGCCUGCGGUUCGGUUUCCGCAUCCCGCU
rnacentral:ncRNA from 1 species